GGUUAAGCGACUAAGCGUACACGGUGGAUGCCCUGGCAGUCAGAGGCGAUGAAGGACGUGCUAAUCUGCGAUAAGCGUCGGUAAGGUGAUAUGAACCGUUAUAACCGGCGAUUUCCGAAUGGGGAAACCCAGUGUGUUUCGACACACUAUCAUUAACUGAAUCCAUAGGUUAAUGAGGCGAACCGGGGGAACUGAAACAUCUAAGUACCCCGAGGAAAAGAAAUCAACCGAGAUUCCCCCAGUAGCGGCGAGCGAACGGGGAGCAGCCCAGAGCCUGAAUCAGUGUGUGUGUUAGUGGAAGCGUCUGGAAAGGCGCGCGAUACAGGGUGACAGCCCCGUACACAAAAAUGCACAUACUGUGAGCUCGAUGAGUAGGGCGGGACACGUGGUAUCCUGUCUGAAUAUGGGGGGACCAUCCUCCAAGGCUAAAUACUCCUGACUGACCGAUAGUGAACCAGUACCGUGAGGGAAAGGCGAAAAGAACCCCGGCGAGGGGAGUGAAAAAGAACCUGAAACCGUGUACGUACAAGCAGUGGGAGCACGCUUCGGCGUGUGACUGCGUACCUUUUGUAUAAUGGGUCAGCGACUUAUAUUCUGUAGCAAGGUUAACCGAAUAGGGGAGCCGAAGGGAAACCGAGUCUUAACUGGGCGUUAAGUUGCAGGGUAUAGACCCGAAACCCGGUGAUCUAGCCAUGGGCAGGUUGAAGGUUGGGUAACACUAACUGGAGGACCGAACCGACUAAUGUUGAAAAAUUAGCGGAUGACUUGUGGCUGGGGGUGAAAGGCCAAUCAAACCGGGAGAUAGCUGGUUCUCCCCGAAAGCUAUUUAGGUAGCGCCUCGUGAAUUCAUCUCCGGGGGUAGAGCACUGUUUCGGCAAGGGGGUCAUCCCGACUUACCAACCCGAUGCAAACUGCGAAUACCGGAGAAUGUUAUCACGGGAGACACACGGCGGGUGCUAACGUCCGUCGUGAAGAGGGAAACAACCCAGACCGCCAGCUAAGGUCCCAAAGUCAUGGUUAAGUGGGAAACGAUGUGGGAAGGCCCAGACAGCCAGGAUGUUGGCUUAGAAGCAGCCAUCAUUUAAAGAAAGCGUAAUAGCUCACUGGUCGAGUCGGCCUGCGCGGAAGAUGUAACGGGGCUAAACCAUGCACCGAAGCUGCGGCAGCGACACUAUGUGUUGUUGGGUAGGGGAGCGUUCUGUAAGCCUGUGAAGGUGUACUGUGAGGUAUGCUGGAGGUAUCAGAAGUGCGAAUGCUGACAUAAGUAACGAUAAAGCGGGUGAAAAGCCCGCUCGCCGGAAGACCAAGGGUUCCUGUCCAACGUUAAUCGGGGCAGGGUGAGUCGACCCCUAAGGCGAGGCCGAAAGGCGUAGUCGAUGGGAAACAGGUUAAUAUUCCUGUACUUGGUGUUACUGCGAAGGGGGGACGGAGAAGGCUAUGUUGGCCGGGCGACGGUUGUCCCGGUUUAAGCGUGUAGGCUGGUUUUCCAGGCAAAUCCGGAAAAUCAAGGCUGAGGCGUGAUGACGAGGCACUACGGUGCUGAAGCAACAAAUGCCCUGCUUCCAGGAAAAGCCUCUAAGCAUCAGGUAACAUCAAAUCGUACCCCAAACCGACACAGGUGGUCAGGUAGAGAAUACCAAGGCGCUUGAGAGAACUCGGGUGAAGGAACUAGGCAAAAUGGUGCCGUAACUUCGGGAGAAGGCACGCUGAUAUGUAGGUGAAGUCCCUCGCGGAUGGAGCUGAAAUCAGUCGAAGAUACCAGCUGGCUGCAACUGUUUAUUAAAAACACAGCACUGUGCAAACACGAAAGUGGACGUAUACGGUGUGACGCCUGCCCGGUGCCGGAAGGUUAAUUGAUGGGGUUAGCGGUAACGCGAAGCUCUUGAUCGAAGCCCCGGUAAACGGCGGCCGUAACUAUAACGGUCCUAAGGUAGCGAAAUUCCUUGUCGGGUAAGUUCCGACCUGCACGAAUGGCGUAAUGAUGGCCAGGCUGUCUCCACCCGAGACUCAGUGAAAUUGAACUCGCUGUGAAGAUGCAGUGUACCCGCGGCAAGACGGAAAGACCCCGUGAACCUUUACUAUAGCUUGACACUGAACAUUGAGCCUUGAUGUGUAGGAUAGGUGGGAGGCUUUGAAGUGUGGACGCCAGUCUGCAUGGAGCCGACCUUGAAAUACCACCCUUUAAUGUUU
rnacentral:rRNA from 1 species